AUUACUUUUAUGAACUCCUUUGUGCUUGGAGUCCCUUUCUGUUCUUCAGGUGGAGACAGAUGCAGCAGAAAAGAGUGUAUGGACCAACUGAGGAACUCUGGAUUGCAUUAUUUGUUGGAGCAAUGAAGAACAGCGACUGAUAGGUUAAAUGAGGAUAUGUCUGGUGAGGAAGAACUUGAGUGGCACAGCAGAUUAUGAUGUAAAUGUGGGAAAAUGUGGCAUUCAUUAGUAGCUUAACAAUCCUGUGAAUCACAGUUAUGUGAGGAAAGGUUGGCUGGCUUCCUCGCUUUGAAAGCUUGAUUGCAGAUGAUGUGGCAUGACUGUAUGAAGGGAAGCAGUUCAGUAAGUGCUUAUUCAUUAUCUUUGAACUGAAAACCUUAAGGAACAGUACUUAUAGAUCAAGAGGACCUUUUAAUUUUCAUUAAUGAUUUGUUACAGCAGUAGUUUACAUAGUAAUAUAGAGUAGA